UAGGUUAACGAGGCGAACCGGGGGAACUGAAACAUCUAAGUACCCCGAGGAAAAGAAAUCAACCGAGAUUCCCCCAGUAGCGGCGAGCGAACGGGGAGCAGCCCAGAGUCUGAAUCAGCUUGUGUGUUAGUGGAACGGUCUGGAAAGUCCGACGGUACAGGGUGAUAGUCCCGUACACCAAAAUGCACAGGCUGUGAACUCGAAGAGUAGGGCGGGACACGUGGUAUCCUGUCUGAAUAUGGGGGGACCAUCCUCCAAGGCUAAAUACUCCUGACUGACCGAUAGUGAACCAGUACCGUGAGGGAAAGGCGAAAAGAACCCCGGCGAGGGGAGUGAAAAAGAACCUGAAACCGUGUACGUACAAGCAGUGGGAGCACCUUCGGGUGUGACUGCGUACCUUUUGUAUAAUGGGUCAGCGACUUA
rnacentral:rRNA from 1 species